rnacentral:rRNA from 1 species
UACGUAGGGGGCAAGCGUUGUCCGGAUUUAUUGGGCGUAAAGAGCGUGUAGGCGGCCAUACAGGUCCGUUGUGAAAACUGGAGGCUUAACCUCCAGACGUCGAUGGAAACCGUAUGGCUAGAGUCCGGAAGAGGAGAGUGGAAUUCCUGGUGUAGCGGUGAAAUGCGCAGAUAUCAGGAAGAACACCCGUGGCGAAGGCGGCUCUCUGGGACGGUACUGACGCUGAGACGCGAAAAGCGUGGGGAGCGAACAGGG